rnacentral:rRNA from 1 species
UACGUAGGGGGGCAAGCGUUGUCCGGAUUUAUUGGGCGUAAAGAGCGUGUAGGCGGCCCAGGUAGGUCCGCUGUGAAAACUCGAGGCUCAACCUCGAGAUGUCGGCGGAAACCAUCUGGCUAGAGUCCGGAAGAGGAGAGUGGAAUUCCUGGUGUAGCGGUGAAAUGCGCAGAUAUCAGGAAGAACACCCGUGGCGAAGGCGGCUCUCUGGGACGGUACUGACGCUGAGACGCGAAAGCGUGGGGAGCGAACAGG